AGAACGAACGCUGGCGGCAUGCCUAACACAUGCAAGUCGAACGAGACCUUCGGGUCUAGUGGCGCACGGGUGCGUAACGCGUGGGAAUUUGCCCUUAGGUACGGGAUAACACAGGGAAACUUGUGCUAAUACCGUAUGAUGACGAAAGUCCAAAGAUUUAUCGCCUAAGGAUGAGCCCGCGUAGGAUUAGCUUGUUGGUGAGGUAAAGGCUCACCAAGGCGACGAUCCUUAGCUGGUCUGAGAGGAUGAUCAGCCACACUGGGACUGAGACACGGCCAGACUCCACGGGAGCGAGCAGUAGGGAAUAUGGAACAAGUAGGGACGAAAGCCGUAGACGUCCAA
rnacentral:rRNA from 1 species